rnacentral:rRNA from 1 species
CCCUUAGAUGUUCUGGGCCGCACGCGUGCUACACUGAGUGGAUCAGCGGGUCAGGUUGCGCGAAAGUGUUUCCUAAUCUUGAAAUCCGCUCGUGAUGGGGAUUGACGGUUGCAAUUUUCUGUCAUGAACGAGGAAUACCUUGUAAGCGCGGGUCAUCAUCCCGCGCUUAAUACGUCCCUGCCCUUUGUACACACCGCCCGUCGCUCCUACCGAUUGAGUGGUCCGGUGAGGCUUUGGGAUCUGGAUGGAAAGAGCGUUUCGCUGUUUCUGCCCGGAAAACUCAGUCGAACCUUAUCAUUUAGAGGAAGGAGAAGUCGUAACA